AUGGAAGAGAGGAUUGUUUCCCCAAAUGAUCGACGUUGAACAACUGAGCAUUUGAUUUCUCUUUUUAUAGAACAUCCAAGCCUUUUUUCUGAUCCAU